GUGACAUUUAACGUUCCACACUAUAUUUAACAUAUCAGUGAUUGAAGUUUAAUUGACAGUUGAUGAUAAUUAAUGUCCAUCUUUGGUGCAACAUUUUUUUUUUCUUCUUCCUUACAGUCUGAAUCCUCAAUGGUUUUUAUAACACCAUCCCCCUAUUCUAAAAUAAGUAUAAAUUGAAUGCAGCAUUGUUUUGAUGAUACUUUCACCCUGUCCUGAUGGUAUCGGCGCGAAUAUUUUCGGCGUAAACAGUGAUUAAAUUAAUGUUACUAAUAUCUAACACUUUCCGUAUUUCUCUAUGAUUGUUUCUCUCGUAUUACUAGAUCAUUGUUAACACUUCAAAUCCUUCGAAACAAUGCUACGAAGCUUUACCACUCAAGUGGGAUAGAAAAAUAGAAAAAAAACAAAAAGUAAGAGACGAAGGGAAGAAAAAAAAGAAGAAGGAAAAAGAAAGUAUUAGUCAUCACGUUUCUUAUCUGGCAAAAUAAAAUUGCUACUGACAACACAGCCUUGUAACGAUUUUGAACUCUUACAGGGGUGUAGAUUAAUUUUGUAAAUCUAAUCUAGAGUCUAGAUCUCUUGAUCUCUUAGCACUCUUUCGAGUGGAAAGAGAUCAUGUUUCUGACCAAAUUCUAACAAAUAAUAAUUAAUGAUCUGCUAAUAUUGUAUAUUUUCGUCAACGAACGUGUCACAACGUUAUUAUAUGUGUCAUUCUAGGAUAUUUUGACAUCGACUCUAUCAUCUGGAAACUCUCAGAUCGGAAAAAGCAAGACGUGCAAAUAUUUUAAUGAAAAAUAAAUAAUGUAAUAUUUAUUAAUUCAAUAGUUUUAAUAUGCAAUAUUUUACAUACACUAAAUCGUUCUUUUUAUCUACCUUUAUAGGAUUAAUAAAGAUGAAUCUUAUUAGACUUAGGGAAUAUUGGCAUGUGCCAAAUAUAGCUGCCACCAUAACUCGACAUUCCAAGCAUGCGCUAUUUGGUAUUAAACGUUAGUUUACUGCCAGUAACUACACUUAUAAUUUAUAAAGGAGAGAAUUUACACAUUAUGGCAUCGGUUUAAAGAAAUAUUUAAUUAAAAAAUGCGAUUAAAGACUUAUAAAUGAUCUAGAAAUUCUCUUGAAAAAAAAAUUGAACGCGAAAAUGCUGGACGGACAAAUUUUGUUAUUGCAAGAGGUAAAAAGAGUAGCGGAGGUUUGGGACAAUUGUAAUAUUCUUUUUUUUCUCUUCACAGUUUUUAUAAUUCCUCAGUAAUUUUCGAAUAGAAAUAAUAAAAGCCGCUUUUAUAAUAUUUAUUUCUUUGAUCUUUAGAAUAAAAAUAGUAAUUGUGUGUCAGAUAGCAGUAAAAUAUUUUCGACAGUAGACAGCCUUCUUUCCGAGUUUUAUUCCGCUUUCCAUAUUUGUUAGAUAUUAUGCAGCGGAGUUAUUCAUGUGCUCACUGCAGACUCUCCGUAUCUGUAGUGAAGUUGGCCAUCAAGUGAAGGAUGGAGUUCAGCAAUUCUUAUGGAAAAAUCUAGAGAUAUAGAGCCGGAAUCGAACCUGGAUCUUCACAGUUUUGAUACCAUAUGUUUCUUUUUUUAAAUUUAAGAAUUUGUUUAUGUAACAGGAAACAAACAGGAAUUGUACAGUGGAUUCCCUUACAAUGCGGGGGAUAUGUUCCGCGUUAUACGACAUACAUUAUCAGACCAUUUUAUGCAAAUUUAAACUUGUCUCUGAGUUUCAGCACUGAUCGCGUAAUGCUAAUGAGAUGUGUGUUAAUUUCAAAUAUGAUUUUAUUGUGUGCAGAG
rnacentral:lncRNA from 1 species